rnacentral:rRNA from 1 species
AUUGAACGCUGGCGGCAGGCUUAACACAUGCAAGUCGAGCGAGCGGCGGACGGGUGAGUAAUGUCUGGGAAACUGCCUGCUGGAGGGGGAUAACUACUGGAAACGGUAGCUAAUACCGCAUACCAUCAGAUGUGCCCAGAUGGGAUUAGCUAGUAGGUGGGGUAAUGGCUCACCUAGGCGACGAUCCCUAGCUGGUCUGAGAGGAUGACCAGGCACGGUGGAACUGAGAGGCGGUCCAGAAUCCUACGGGAGGCAGCAGUGGCGAAUAUUGGACAAUGGGCGCAAGCCGGAUGCAGCCAUGCCGCGUGUGUGAAGAAGGCCUUCGGGUUGUAAAGCACUUUCAGCGAGGAGGCGUGAAUCGCAGAAGAAGCACCUGCUAACUCCGUGACAGCAGCCGCGGUAAUAC